CUCAGUAACGGCGAGUGAAGCGGCAACAGCUCAAAUUUGAAAUCUGGCUCCCUCGGGGGUCCGAGUUGUAAUUUGCAGAGGGUGCUUUGGCGUCGAGCGCGGUCUAAGUUCCUUGGAACAGGACGUCACAGAGGGUGAGAAUCCCGUAUGUGGUCGCCGAUCUUCGCCAUGUAAAGCCCYUUCGACGAGUCGAGUUGUUUGGGAAUGCAGCUCUAAAUGGGAGGUAAAUUUCUUCUAAAGCUAAAUACCGGCCAGAGACCGAUAGCGCACAAGUAGAGUGAUCGAAAGAUGAAAAGCACUUUGGAAAGAGAGUCAAAAAGCACGUGAAAUUGUUGAAAGGGAAGCGCUUGCAGCCAGACUUGCCUGCGGUUGCUCAUCCGGGCUCUUGCCCGGUGCACUCUUCCGUAGGCAGGCCAGCAUCAGUUUGGGCGGCCGGACAAAGGCCUCUUACACGUACCUCCCUUCGGGGAGGACUUAUAGGAGAGGCGACAUGCGGCCAGCCUGGACUGAGGUCCGCGCUCCGGCUAGGAUGCUGGCGUAAUGGCUGUAAGCGGCCCGUCUUGAAACACGGACCAAGGAGUCUAACAUCUAUGCGAGUGUUUGGGUGUCAAGCCCGGGCGCGCAAUGAAAGUGAACGGAGGUGGGAACCCUUCGGGGUGCACCAUCGACCGAUCCUGAUGUCUUCGGAUGGAUUUGAGUAAGAGCAUAGCUGUUGGGACCCGAAAGAUGGUGAACUAUGCUUGAAUAGGGUGAAGCCAGAGGAAACUCUGGUGGAAGCUCGCAGCGGUUCUGACGUGCAAAUCGAUCGUCAAAUUUGGGCAUAGGGG
rnacentral:rRNA from 1 species